rnacentral:ncRNA from 1 species
CGGUGCUCUUGACUGAGUGUCGGCGGCGGCCGGAACGUUUACUUUGAAAAAAUUAGAGUGUUCAAAGCAGGCUCUCGAGCCUGGAUAAUGGUGCAUGGAAUAAUGGAAUAGGACCUCGGUUCUAUUUUGUUGGUUUUCGGAGCGCGAGGUAAUGAUUAAGAGGGACAGACGGGGGCAUUCGUACUGUGCCGUUAGAGGUGAAAUUCUUGGAUCGGCGCAAGACGAACGACUGCGAAAGCAUUUGCCAAGAAUGUUUUCUUUAAUCAAGAGCGAAAGUCAGAGGUUCGAAGACGAUCAGAUACCGUCCUAGUUCUGACUAUAAACGAUGCCAACUAGCGAUCGGGGGGCGUUACAUUGACGACCCCUCCGGCAGCUUACGGGAAACCAAAGUCUUUGGGUUCCGGGGGAAGUAUGGUUGCAAAGCUGAAACUUAAAGGAAUUGACGGAAGGGCACCACCAGGAGUGGAGCCUGCGGCUUAAUUUGACUCAACACGGGAAAUCUCACCCGGCCCGGACACAGUGAGGAUUGACAGAUUGAGAGCUCUUUCUUGAUUCUGUGGGUGGUGGUGCAUGGCCGUUCUUAGUUGGUGGAGCGAUUUGUCUGGUUAAUUCCGAUAACGAACGAGACUCUGGCUUGCUAAAUAGUUACGCGACCAUCCCGGUCGGCGUUUAACUUCUUAGAGGGACAAGUGGCGUUUAGCCACACGAGAUUGAGCAAUAACAGGUCUGUGAUGCCCUUCAGAUGUUCGGGGCCGCACGCGCGCUACACUGACCGGGAUCAGCGUGUGCUCUCCUUGGCCGACAGGUCCGGGAAACCCGUUGAACCCCGGUCGUGCUAGGGAUAGGGAAUUGCAAU